AAAGCAUACAAAUUAGUCAUGACAAAUGCAGAGAAGUUAGCAAAAGAAGUUGAAGAAUUGCUACGAUCUGAAAUGAAUGCUAAUGUGGAUGAGAAUGGUCAUACAACUCAAUCCACUCCUGGACAACUCAAUGUAGAUGGUAAUGUGGUGAAUGCAAAAGGUCUAAAGAAAAAGGAAAAAUCUAAAGGAAGAAAACGGAGAAUCAAGAGUCAAGUAGAGAUAAGCAUGAACAAAAAUAAAAAAUAGAGGCAACCCAGUAAAAAAGCAAUGGAGGUUACUCCUGAUCAAAUGAAUGGUGUAUACAAGGUGACUUUUGAUCCAACAUGUAAUGAAGAGAAUGCUACUCUUGAUCUAACAAACAAUGCAGAUCAAUUUCUGGAACAAGACUUUUGUGCAUCUUCACUUAGUCAGGUUGUGCAGUCUUCUGCUUCGUUUUUGUAAGACGCUUCUGCAAUUGUAUAGCCUUAUGUUUUGUUUUGUAAGAAUGGAAGAAGGCACUUGUGCAGCAUUAGUUUUACUUUUUUAGGAGGAGAGGCAAUUGUACAGCAUAUGUCUUAUUUUUUGUAAGAGGAUCGAGAGGGCUAUGUUGAUUUCUUAAACCUUAAAAGGGUAGGCUGCUGAAGGCAAUAUGUUCAAGUGUAAUUAGACCCAUUUCAUAUGUACUAAU